rnacentral:rRNA from 1 species
AGCGAACGCUGGCGGCAGGCUUAACACAUGCAAGUCGAGCGCCCCGCAAGGGGAGUGGCAGACGGGUGAGUAACACGUGGGAACGUACCCUUUGGUUCGGAAUAACUUGGGGAAACUCAAGCUAAUACCGGAUAAGCCCUUAUGGGGAAAGGUUUACUGCCGAAGGAUCGGCCCGCGUCUGAUUAGCUAGUUGGUGAGGUAAUGGCUCACCAAGGCGACGAUCAGUAGCUGGUCUGAGAGGAUGAUCAGCCACACUGGGACUGAGACACGGCCCAGACUCCUACGGGAGGCAGCAGUGGGGAAUAUUGGACAAUGGGGGCAACCCUGAUCCAGCCAUGCCGCGUGAGUGAUGAAGGCCUUAGGGUUGUAAAGCUCUUUUACCCGGGACGAUAAUGACUGUACCGGGAGAAUAAGCCCCGGCUAACUUCGUGCCAGCCGCCGCGGUAC